GACGAACGCUGGCGGCGUGCUUAACACAUGCAAGUCGAACGGAAAGGCCCUGCUUGCCGGGUACUCGAGUGGCGAACGGGUGAGUAACACGUGGGUGAUCUGCCCUGCACUUCGGGAUAAGCUUGGGAAACUGGGUCUAAUACCGGAUAGGAGCCAUCUUUAGUGUGGUGGUUGGAAAGUUUUUUCGGUGUAGGAUGAGCUCGCGGCCUAUCAGCUUGUUGGUGGGGUAAUGGCCUACCAAGGCGGCGACGGGUAGCCGGCCUGAGAGGGUGUACGGCCACAUUGGGACUGAGAUACGGCCCAGACUCCUACGGGAGGCAGCAGUGGGGAAUAUUGCACAAUGGGCGCAAGCCUGAUGCAGCGACGCCGCGUGGGGGAUGAAGGCCUUCGGGUUGUAAACGCCUUUCGCUAGGGACGAAGCUUUGUGUGACGGUACCUAGAGAAGAAGCACCGGCUAACUACGUG
rnacentral:rRNA from 1 species